CCAGAGACAGUGGGUUUUGAACAAGCGUCAUGAUGGAGGCCAAGGAGGGGCAAGCAAUGGGGGAUCAAGGACCAAGAGCGCUUUGUGAGGUCCUUAUGUGUAGCCUCCCCCAGCCAGAAAUGGGCUGAUGCGAACCUUGCUGCCACUGAGAAUGAGACCACCUGGGGAGGAGCCUUCAGACCUAGAUGGCUCUAUUGUUCUGUCACCUGCUGCUGCUCUCCUCCAUGACACUGCUACCUGCUGAGAGGCCCACACUGCUACCUGCUGAGAGGUCCCUGAGAUAUUCCAGAGGCACAUCCUAUCCUGCAUGUCAC
rnacentral:lncRNA from 1 species